UAAUACGGAGGGUGCGAGCGUUGUCCGGAAUCAUUGGGCGUAAAGGGCGCGUAGGUGGCCCGGUCAGUCCGUGGUGAAAGCGCGGGGCUCAACCCUGCGUCGGCCAUGGAUACUGCCGCGGCUGGAGCACUGUAGAGGCAGGCGGAAUUCCGGGUGUAGCGGUGGAAUGCGUAGAGAUCCGGAAGAACACCGGUGGCGAAGGCGGCCUGCUGGGCAGUAGCCGAAAGGC
rnacentral:rRNA from 1 species